GGCCUGAUGGUCUAGUAGUAUGAUUCUCCCUUCGGGUUUAACAAAAUCCGCUUGCAUAAGCAAGUCGAUUGGGAGAGGUCCCGGGUUCAAUUCCCGGUCAGGCCC